rfam:Oryza meridionalis cultivar OR44 (W2112) chromosome 3, whole genome shotgun sequence.
UUUAAGUGCAACCAUAAGUUUUCACGUCUAACUUUGAUCGUCUGUCUUAUUUAAUUUUUUUUUUAUAAUUAGUAUUUUUGUUGUUAUGAAAUGAUAAAACAUGAAUAUUACUUUACUCGUGACUUAUGUUUUUUAAUUUUUUCAAAUAAAACGAACGGUCAAAAUUUGGCGUGGAAAAUUAUGGCUGCACUUAAA